GGAGCGAUAGCCAAACGGGACGGCACCCGGCUGAAGACCGGGCAAUUCGCGGUUCGACUCCGCGUCGCUCCA
rnacentral:tRNA from 1 species